UUUGUACUGGGAAGAAAAUUCCGAACGUGUUCGGAGCUGACGGUACCAUAAGAAUAAGCAUCGGCUAACUCCGUGCCAGCAGCCGCGGUAAUACGGAGGAUGCAAGCGUUGUCCGGAUUCAUUGGGUUUAAAGGGUGCGUAGGCGGAGAAUUAAGUCAGUGGUGAAAGCUUACAGCUUAACUGUAAAAAUGCCAUUGAAACUGAUUUUCUUGAGUUCGAUUGAGGUAGAUGGAAUGUAUCAUGUAGCGGUGAAAUGCUUAGAUAUGAUACAGAACACCAAUUGCGAAGGCAGUCUACUAAGUCGAUACUGACGCUGAGGCACGAAAGCAUGGGGAGCAAACAGGAUUAGAUACCCUGGUAGUCCAUGCCCUAAACGUUGAUUACUCGUUGUUGGCGAUACACUGUCAG
rnacentral:rRNA from 1 species